UCACACCCUUUUGCACUGGUUUAAAUUGGAACGAUACAGAAAAGAUUAGCAUGGCCCCUGUGCAAGGAUGACAUACAAAUUCGUGAAGCAUUCCAUAUUUAA
rnacentral:snRNA from 1 species